AGUGAACGCUGGCGGUAGGCCUAACACAUGCCAGUCGAACGGCAGCACAGUAAGAGCUUGCUCUUACGGGUGGCGAGUGGCGGACGGGUGAGGAAUACAUCGGAAUCUACUUUUUCGUGGGGGAUAACGUAGGGAAACUUACGCUAAUACCGCAUACGACCUACGGGUGAAAGCAGGGGAUCUUCGGACCUUGCGCGAUUGAAUGAGCCGAUGUCGGAUUAGCUAGUUGGGGGGGUAAAGGCCCACCAAGGCGACGAUCCGUAGCUGGUCUGAGAGGAUGGUCAGCCACACUGGAACUGAGACACGGUCCAGAUUCCUACGGGAGGCAGCAGUGGGGAAUAUUGGACAAUGGGCGCAAGCCUGAUCCAGCCAUACCGCGUGGGUGAAGAAGGCCUUCGGGUUGUAAAGCCCUUUUGUUGGGAAAGAAAAGCAGCAGGUUAAUACCCCGCUGUUCUGACGGUACCCAAAGAAUAAGCACCGGCUAACUUCGUG
rnacentral:rRNA from 1 species